AUUGAACGCUGGCGGCAUGCCUUACACAUGCAAGUCGAACGGGAACGGGCCUUCGGGUGCCGACGAGUGGCGAACGGGUGAGUAAUACAUCGGAACGUGCCCGAUCGUGGGGGAUAACGAGGCGAAAGCUUUGCUAAUACCGCAUACGAUCUACGGAUGAAAGCAGGGGACCACAAGGCCUUGCGCGGACGGAGCGGCCGAUGGCAGAUUAGGUAGUUGGUGGGAUAAAAGCUUACCAAGCCGACGAUCUGUAGCUGGUCUGAGAGGAUGAUCAGCCACACUGGGACUGAGACACGGCCCAGACUCCUACGGGAGGCAGCAGUGGGGAAUUUUGGACAAUGGGCGCAAGCCUGAUCCAGCCAUGCCGCGUGCAGGAUGAAGGCCUUCGGGUUGUAAACUGCUUUUGUACGGAACGAAAAGCCUUCUUUUAAUACAGGAGGGUCAUGACGGUACCGUAAGAAUAAGCACCGGCUAACUACGUG
rnacentral:rRNA from 1 species